rnacentral:ncRNA from 1 species
CUGACAUGUGUGCGAGUCAAUGGGCCAGCAAACUCGUAAGGCGUAAGGAAGUUGAUUGGCGGGAUCCCUAGCGGGUGUACCGCCGACCGACCUUGAUCUUCUGAGAAGGGUUCGAGUGAGAGCAUGCCUGUCGGGACUCGAAAGAUGGUGAACUAUGCCUGAGCGGGGCAAAGCCAGAGGAAACUCUGGUGGAGGCCAGUAGCGAUACUGACGUGCAAAUCGUUCGGUGACUUGGGUAUAGGGGCGAAAGACUAAUCGAACCGUCUAGUAGCUGG